UGGGGAAUAUUGCACAAUGGGCGCAAGCCUGAUGCAGCGACGCCGCGUGGGGGAUGACGGCCUUCGGGUUGUAAACCCCUUUCGGCAGGGAACAAGCCCCUUGGGGUGAGGGUACCUGCGGAAGAAGCGCCGGCUAACUACGUGCCAGCAGCCGCGGUAAUACGUAGGGCGCGAGCGUUAUCCGGAAUUAUUGGGCGUAAAGAGCUCGUAGGCGGUUUGUCGCGUCUGCUGUGAAAGCCCGGGGCUCAACCCCGGGUCUGCAGUGGGUACGGGCAGGCUGGAGUGGAGUAGGGGAGGCUGGAAUUCCUGGUAUAGCGGUGAAAUGCGCAGAUGUCAGGAGGAACACCGAUGGCGAAGGCAGGUCUCUGGGCUGUAACUGACGCUGAGGAGCGAAAGCAUGGGGAGCGAACAGG
rnacentral:rRNA from 1 species